rnacentral:lncRNA from 1 species
AUGUCCCCUGGGUGUCCCCUACACGUUGACCUGUCCCCUGGGUGUCCCCUAUGCACUGGCCUGUCCCCUGGGUGUCCCCUGGGUGCUGGUCUGUCCCCUGGGUGUCCCCUAUGCCCUGAUGUGUCCCCAUCCCUGUCCCCUAUGCGCUGGCUUGUCCCUUGGGUGUCCCCUACGUGCUGGCCUGUCCCCAUCCCUGUCUCCAUCCCUGUCCUGUACAUACUGGCUUGUCCCCAGUCCUGUCCCUUAUGCACUGGAUUGUCCUUAGCCAUGUCCCCAUCCCUGUCCCUUGUCCCCAUCCAUGUCCCUUGUCCCCAUCCCCACGCGCUGUCCCCGACGUCCCCCCCAGCCUUGUCCCCUCCGCCAGGAGCCCCCCCAGCGGCCGUGGGGCGCCGAGGGCACCCCACGGAGGCAGCCGCGCCGGCCCCAGGAGCAGCGUCCCGCGGCGAGGCCCGGGGACAAGGGGACAGCAGGGGACAGCCGGGGACAGCCGGGGGACGGGGGCGUCGUGCCCUAUCUGGGCACCUUCCUGCGCGACCUGGUCAUGCUGGACGCCGCCAUGAAGGACGAGCUGGAGGUGGGAACGUGGUGGCCCCGCGGUGGUGGUGGUGGCCCCGCGGUGGCCAUCGGUGGUGGCCAUCGGUGGUGGUGGUGGUGGCCCCGCGGUGGUGGUGGUGGCCCCGCGGUGGCCAUCGGUGGUGGCCCCACGGUGGUGGUGGUGGUGGCCCCACGGUGGUGGUGGUGGUGGCCCCGCAGUGGCCAUCGGUGGUGGCCAUUGGUGGUGGUGGUGGUGGCCCUGCAGUGGCCAUCGGUGGUGGCCAUCGGUGGUGGUGGUGGCCCCACGGUGGUGGUGGCCCUGCAGUGGCCAUUGGUGGUGGCCAUUGGUGGUGGUGGUGGCCCCACGGUGAUGGUGGUGGCCCCACGGUGGCCAUCGGUGGUGGUGGUGGUGGUGGUGGUCCCGCGGUGGCCAUCGGUGGUGACCUCGGGCUCAUGGCCUCGCCCUUCCCUUGCAGAACGGCUACAUCAACUUUGAGAAGCGGCGCAAGGUAG